rnacentral:rRNA from 1 species
GAUGAACGCUGGCGGCGUGCCUAAUACAUGCAAGUCGAGCGAAGAAAGAUGGUACUUGUUCCAUUUGGAUGAGCAGCGAACGGGUGAGUAACGCGUGGGGAACCUGCCUUUGAGAGGGGGAUAACUUCUGGAAACGAAUGCUAAUACAGCAUAAAAUCUUUAAACACAUGGUUCUAGUUUGAAAGGUGCAAUUGCUUUCCCUUAUGAAGAUCCCCCCUUGUAUUAGACAGUUGGUGAGGUAAAGGCCCCACAAGGCAACGAUACGUAGCCGCACUGAGAGGGGGAUGGGCACAACGGGAACUGGGACACGCCCCAGCCUCCUCCGGGAGGAACAGGUAGGGAAUUUUGGGAAAUGGGGGAAGGCUUGACGGAGAACCGCGCGGUGAGUGAUGAGGGUUUUCGGUCCUUAAACUCUUGUUAUUGGGGAAGAACAAAUGGGUAAUUAAAAGCGCGUCUAUUGACGGUAACUACUCAGAAAGCGACGGCUAACUACGUG